AUUGAACGCUGGCGGCAUGCCUUACACAUGCAAGUCGAACGGUAACAGGUUAAGCUGACGAGUGGCGAACGGGUGAGUAAUGUAUCGGAACGUGCCCAGUCGUGGGGGACAACUGCUCGAAAGAGCAGCUAAUACCGCAUACGACCUGAGGGUGAAAGCGGGGGGUCGCAAGACCUCGCGCGAUGGGAGCGGCCGAUAUCAGAUUAGGUAGUUGGUGAGGUAAAGGCUCACCAAGCCGACGAUCUGUAGCUGGUCUGAGAGGAUGACCAGCCACCCGGGGACUGAGAACCGGCCCAGGCUCCGAAGGGAGGCAGCAGUGGGGAAUUUUGGACAAUGGGCGCAAGCCUGAUCCAGCCAUGCCGCGUGCGGGAAGAAGGCCUUCGGGUUGUAAACCGCUUUUGUCAGGGAAGAAAAGGUUCUGGCUAACACCUGGGACUCAUGACGGUACCUGAAGAAUAAGCACCGGCUAACUACGUGCCAGCAGCCGCCGUAAAAC
rnacentral:rRNA from 1 species